UGCUUCAUCUUUGUUUUAUGUAAGUACACAUAAAAAUCAUGUGUUAUUAUUACAUCAUAUAGACGGGUUAGCUGAGAACGUCACAAACGAUGCGCACGCUUCAAUGGGGCAGAAGGCCGUGUGUUGUGAUUCUGGAUGGCCAGAUAGCUAGCAACAAUGACAAGAAGCUGCCAUGUGGGGAAUCGUGGAGCCAGCCCAGCACUGAUCUGCCAGGUACAUGGUGUGAUCACCCUGAAGAGAGGCUCCUUCAAGGCCAACCAUGAUGAAAAGACUAACCAGGUCCUCUCCAUGGACUGGCUGCCUGUUAAACCUCACAACAUCCUUGCUGCUGGCUUCUAUGAUGAGACCUCAUGGUGAUGGCAGGGGAUGGUAACGAUGUGGGACCUGAGGAGGACCUGGGAGCCCUGCCAGUCCUUCAAGCUCUUCCUCUCCACCGAGGCGGCCUGGCCCCUGCACUGGCCUGGGGUCUCCAUCUCUCAGGAGAGUACCUACGCCAUAGGACGUUUAAGAAUGUCCAGAACUGAGCUCCUUGGAAGCACAUGCAGGCUGCAGAGACCAAAGGGGGACUAGGCCUGGACAUGAUGCCUUUAGCUUCACUAACCAAGGCUGGUGGUAGCUGGUCCGCUCCAGGAGUCUGAGGUGCAGGAGGUUCCUCCGCAACCCAUUGGACAUUGAGGUGGCAACGGCGUACUCGGUCUGUUCCAUCCUGGAUUCGAGGCGUCGGGUUGGAGGCCUGCAGUAUCUCGUGGAGUGGGAGGGGUACGGU